CAGCAGUCGCCGCGGUAACACGUAGGUGGCAAGCGUUGUCCGGAAUUAUUGGGCGUAAAGGGCUCGCGGGCGGUUUCUUAAGUCUGAUGUGAAAGCCCCCGGCUCAACCGGGGAGGGUCAUUGGAAACUGGGAAACUUGAGUGCAGAAGAGGAGAGUGGAAUUCCACGUGUAGCGGUGAAACGCGUAGAGAUGUGGAGGAACACCAGUGGCGAAGGCGACUCUCUGGUCUGUAACUGACGCUGAGGAGCGAAAGCGUGGGGAGCGAACAGGAUUAGAUACCCCCGUAGUCCCUGUCUCUUAUAC
rnacentral:rRNA from 1 species